CCUACGGGUGGCUGCAGUGAGGAAUAUUGGUCAAUGGACGAGAGUCUGAACCAGCCACGUAGCGUGAAGGAUGACUGCCCUAUGGGUGGUAAACUUCUUUUAUAUGGGAAUAAAAUGUUCCACGCUUGGGAUGUUGUAUGUACUAUAUGAAUAAGGAUCGGCGAACUCCGUGCCAGCAGCCGCGGUAAUACGGAGGAUCCGAGCGUUAUCCGGAUUGAUUGGGUUUAAAGGGAGCGUAGGUGGAUUGUUAAGUCAGUUGUGAAAGUUUGCGGCUCAACCGUAAAAUUGCAGUUGAAACUGGCAGUCUUGAGUACAGUAGAGGUGAGCGGAAUUCGUGGUGUAGCGGUGAAAUGCUUAGAUAUCACGAAGAACUCCGAUUGCGAAGGCAGCUCACUGGACUGUAACUGACACUGAGGCUCGAAAGUGUGGGUAUCAAACAGGAUUAGAUACCCUUGUAGUC
rnacentral:rRNA from 1 species